rnacentral:rRNA from 1 species
CUACGGGUGGCUGCAGCUAAGAAUCUUCCGCAAUGGGAGCAAUCCUGACGGAGCGACGCCGCGUGAACGAAGAAGGCCGAAAGGUUGUAAAGUUCUUUUAUAAGGGGAGAAUAAUGGUAGUGAGAGAAACGCUAUCAGAUGACGGUACCUUAUGAAUAAGCCUCGGCUAACUACGUGCCAGCAGCCGCGGUAAUACGUAGGAGGCAAGCGUUGUUCGGAAUUAUUGGGCGUAAAGGGCGUGCAGGCGGUUUGAUAAGUGUGGAUUGAAAGACCGGAGCUUAACUCCGAGUUUGGUCUGCAAACUGUCAAACUUGUGUUUAGGAGGGGUGACUGGAAUUCCGCGUGUAGGGGUGAAAUCUGUAGAUAUGCGGAAGAAUACCAAUGGCGAAGGCAAGUCACUGGCCUAUAACAGACGCUGAGGCGCGAAAGCGUGGGGAGCGAACAGGAUUAGAUACCCGUGUAGUC